UACGAAGGGGGCUAGCGUUGCUCGGAAUUACUGGGCGUAAAGGGCGCGUAGGCGGAUACUUAAGUUGGGGGUGAAAGCCCGGGGCUCAACCUCGGAAUUGCCUUCAAUACUGGGUAUCUUGAGUACGGGAGAGGUGAGUGGAACUCCGAGUGUAGAGGUGAAAUUCGUAGAUAUUCGGAAGAACACCAGUGGCGAAGGCGACUCACUGGCCCGUUACUGACGCUGAGGCGCGAAAGCGUGGGGAGCAAACAGG
rnacentral:rRNA from 1 species